CUUUAAGCUAAACGCGGCAUCCUAUUGGCUACACACGAUGGCAGUUCGCUUCCUAAUUUGCAUAACCAGGUCGGGUUGCAGAUGCAGGGGAGUGGGCAGGGUAGGGGUAGUGCAAGUGAACUCAACUUCUGCGUCGCGCUAUACUAUAUCCUUAAAAUGCACCUAACUUUGACCGUGCACCGUGAUUUAUUUUAGAGAAAAAACAAUCUGGAUGUUGGGAGAGAUGGUCGGCGCGGUCCUGUGGGCGAAAAUGACAUAUUUUUUCUUUUAAAAUUAAUCCAAAAAGAAAACUUGGAAGUGAUUUCUGUGUGCUCAUGGCUGUCUGUUUCAUAUCUCAGAUCUAAAAGCAGGUAAGCCACUGACUAACGCACAUUGUGCCAGUUGUCAAUUCCACUGUGCGUGUGACAGCGGCUAACCUGGUUUUGGGAAUACUUCUCAAUUGUUUUUUUGGGGCUCGUCCAAGACCGGAGCAGACAAACACCUAGAUCUCCCAGCACUCCUUGAUCCUGUCCUGUGCACACUGCUGGGACAGGCCUGCUCAACACGACUGCUCUCAUGUGUACUGUAGCCUACUUCCUCCUAUGUUCACAUACUGUUCCUUAUUUAGGGUCAAUGGCUUUUUGCAUGGCCUCCUAUAUAGAGUCGACCUCUCUCUUAUGCUACCUUGCUGGCAAGGCUAUUGGUGAGUGUUUUGUUUCAGUUUCUGUUUCAUCUGUGUGGUUUAGACAUGAUUAUCAUCGUCAUACUCACUGGUUUCAAAUUUGAGGUCAGAGGGUUCUUGGAGAGGCUCCCUGGGGG